CUCUUUAGGGAACAGGGCUCUGACCCAACACUCUCUCUUACGGGAUGACAGUGGUCCACUGCAAACAUGAGGUCAAAUCAGGGUUCAGUCUCUAUCAACUUUCUAUGCCACUUUCUGUGCCUACCAUGGUGACCACGGGUAACGGGGAAUCAGGGUUCGAUUCCGGAGAGGGAGCCUGAGAAACGGCUACCACAUCCAAGGAAGGCAGCAGGUGCGCAAAUUACCCACUCCCGACACAGGGAGGUAGUGAUGACAAAUAACAAUACAGGAGUCUUUAGAGGCCCUGUAAUUGUAAUGAGUCCACUUGAAAUCCUUAAACUAUGAUCAAUUGGAGGGCAAGUCUGGUGCAGAGCGACUGACCCGUGUGUGCUGCAGCUGAAACUCCACU